rnacentral:rRNA from 1 species
GGGAGGCAGCAGUAGGGAAUCUUCCGCAAUGGACGAAAGUCUGACGGAGCAACGCCGCGUGAGUGAUGAAGGUUUUCGGAUUGUAAAACUCUGUUGUUAGGGAAGAACAAGUACCGUUCGAAUAGGGCGGUACCUUGACGGUACCUAACCAGAAAGCCACGGCUAACUACGUGCCAGCAGCCGCGGUAAUACGUAGGUGGCAAGCGUUGUCCGGAAUUAUUGGGCGUAAAGCGCGCGCAGGCGGUUUCUUAAGUCUGAUGUGAAAGCCCCCGGCUCAACCGGGGAGGGUCAUUGGAAACUGGGGAACUUGAGUGCAGAAGAGGAGAGUGGAAUUCCACGUGUAGCGGUGAAAUGCGUAGAGAUGUGGAGGAACACCAGUGGCGAAGGCGACUCUCUGGUCUGUAACUGACGCUGAGCGCGAAAGCG